rnacentral:rRNA from 1 species
AGAGUUUGAUCCUGGCUCAGGACGAACGCUAGCGGCGGGCUUAAUACAUGCAAGUCAAAUCUUAGCAAUAGGGUUGGCGCACGGGUGCGUAACACGUAUGCAACCUAUCCCUCAGUGGAGGAUAUACUUGGGAAACUGAGUGCAAUACUUCAUAUACUCCUAAUAACACCUGUUAUAGAGAGGAAAAGCAAUGCUGAGGGUUGGGCAUGCGUCUGAUUAGCUAGUUGGCGGGGUAACGGCCCACCAAGGCGACGAUCAGUAACUGGUCUGAGAGGAUGAUCAGUCACACUAGCACUGAGACACGGGCCAGACUCCUACGGGAGGCAGCAGUAGGGAAUAUUGGUCAAUGGACGCAAGUCUGAACCAGCCACGCCGCGUGGAGGAAGAAGGUUCUCUGGAUCGUAAACUCCUUUUAUAUGGGAAUAAAGACGGGCUAUACGCCUGAGCUGAAUGUACCAUAGGAAUAAGCCACGGCUAACUACGUGCCAGCAGCCGCGGUAAUACGUAGGUGGCAAGCGUUGUCCGGAUUUAUUGGGUUUAAAGGGUGCGUAGGCGGUUUGAUCAGUCAGUCGUUAAAGGCAGCAGCUUAACUGUUGUAAGGCGAUUGAUACUGUCGAACUUGAAUUCGUUUGAGGUACUUGGAAUGCGUAGUGUAGCGGUGAAAUGCAUAGAUAUUACGCGGAACGCCAAUUGCGGAGGCAGAGUACGAGGACGAGAUUGACGCUGAGGCACGAAAGUGUGGGUAGCAAACAGGAUUAGAUACCCUGGUAGUCCACACUGUAAACGAUGAUCACUAGAUGUUCGGCUGUAAUGGCUGAGUGUUCAAGCGAAAGCGAUAAGUGAUCCACCUGGGGAGUACGCCGGCAACGGUGAAACUCAAAGGAAUUGACGGGGGCCCGCACAAGCGGUGGAGCAUGUGGUUUAAUUCGAUGAUACGCGAGGAACCUUACCUAGGCUAGAAUGUGCGUGAAUGAUGGGGAAACUUAUCAGUCCCGCAAGGGACACAAAACAAGGUGCUGCAUGGUUGUCGUCAGCUCGUGCCGUGAGGUGUUGGGUUAAGUCCCGCAACGAGCGCAACCCCUAUUGAUAGUUGCCAGCACGUAAUGGUGGGAACUCUAUCGAGACUGCCUUCGCAAGGAGCGAGGAAGGAGGGGAUGACGUCAAAUCAUCAUGGCCCUUACGCCUAGGGCUACACACGUGCUACAAUGGACGAUACAAAGGGGAGCUACACAGUGAUGUGAUGCAAAUCUCAAAAAGUCGUUCUCAGUUCGGAUUGGGGUCUGCAACUCGACCUCAUGAAGCUGGAAUCGCUAGUAAUCGCAGAUCAGCCAUGCUGCGUGAAUACGUUCCCGGGCCUUGUACACACCGCCCGUCAAGCCAUGAAAGCUGGGGGAACCUGAAGUCGGUAGUCGCAAGACGCUGCCUAGGGUAAAACUGGUAAUUGGGGCUAAGUCGGAACAAGGUAGCCGUACCGGAAGGUGCGGCUG